GACGAACCGAGCGACCGUUGUUCGGAAUCACUGGGCUUAAAGGGCGCGUAGGCGGAUGCUCAAGUCCGGGGUGAAAUCCCACAGCUCAACUGUGGAACUGCCUCGGAUACUGGGUGUCUCGAGGGUGGCAGGGGUAUGCGGAACUAUCGGUGGAGCGGUGAAAUGCGUUGAUAUCGAUAGGAACUCCGGUGGCGAAGGCGGCAUACUGGUCCACUUCUGACGCUGAGGCGCGAAAGCCAGGGGAGCAAACGGG
rnacentral:rRNA from 1 species